GAUGAAGAACGUAGCGAAAUGCGAUAAGUAAUGCGAAUUGCAGAAUUCAGUGAAUCAACGAAUCUUUGAACGCACAUUGCGCCCGCUAGUAUUCUGGCGGGCAUGCCUGUCUGAGCGUCAUUUCAACCCUCGCCCCCGGCUUUUGCUGGGAGCGGUGUUGGGGAUCGGCCGCCCGUCACUGGGAGGCCGGCCCCGAAAUAGCGUGGCGACCACGCCGUGUGCUCCUCUGCGUAGUAGUAAAUCACCUCGCAGGCGGACAGCGGUGCGGCCUGACGUAAAACCCCCAACUCUUUCUGGUUGACCUCAGAUCAGGUAGGAAUACCCGCUGAACUUAAGCAUAUCAAUAAGCGGAGGA
rnacentral:misc_RNA from 1 species